GGGAGUUCCAUAUCGAGUAUCAGCCAUGUGCAGCAAUAAAAGAGCAAGUACCGAUAGACUUCAUUGUCAAAUGCAUGAUCCUUAAAGAAAAGUCAAAUAUUAAUGCUUCUAAAUCAGAGAUCAGCACAAGAAAAAAUUGGCGGAUUCGGUACAUGGAUGGAGCUUCAAAUUUUUAAAACAGCGAUAUAAGUCUAAUUGUCACCAACCU
rnacentral:lncRNA from 1 species